AGUCGGCGGCGCAGGGGCCGGGCCAGCCGCCGCCACUCCCCCGGCCCCCGGGCCCGGGCCUCCCGCCGCCGCCGCGACCACCGUCCCUGACGCGGCCCCGGAGCCUGGCCCCGCAUCUCCGCGGCCGCCGCCUCCUCCCACCACUGGGGGACCGGCGCCGCCGCCGCCAAGUGCUGCAAUGGCUGCCGGGCCUGGCCCCACCACUCCUCUCAGCUCCGUCGCCGCCAUGAGCCGCCGCCGCCUGGAGAUACAAGACCGGAACCGCCUACGAGAGCCGCCGUCGCCGCCCGGAGCGCCCCACACGGCUACCGCAUCAGCCACCGCCGCGCAGCGUCCCCGCCCCGCCCGGCCAGCCGCGGGGAGGAGGGCUCGGCCGCCGGGAAGAAGGACGUCGAUUGGUGCCGCUGAGUGUCACUUGAGGAAGACCCCGCGGAUAUUGGCAUUUCUCUCGGGCCUGUCAUUCUACAGCGCCCAGUGAGAGCCUGGGGUGGGACGCGUCCGCCAGACCCACCUUUGAUUGGUUCAGAUAAAGGCCAAUCAGACUUUUGGGGAAGCUCAUUGGUGCUUUCCUGAAGUUUCCAGCGCUCAGGGAGGACGGGAGAAUGCGGAAUGCCCGGCCAAUCUGAUCGCCGAUUGGCUGCUGUUUCCGCCAUUCAUUUCAGUUUAUGCGCCUGUCACUGCCACGUCACCCCCUCCCAUCGCUCUUCUCAUCAUCCUUUUCCGCCCUCAUGGAUUGGUGGUUGGUAUCAGCUGCUCCACCUUUUCUACCAUUUACUGAACGAGUUGAGGAAAAAGGGAAGGAGUCUCGUCUUUACAUCCUUAUUUUCUUUUUUUAUUGGUUGGCACCUAUGCCACUCACGUGGUGGAGAGGCGGGGCAAUAGUUGGAGAUGAUUGGUUCUGAGAAUUGGCUGUGAAAGCGGCAUUGCUGACCAGUGAGAGAGACCUAAUGAGGAGCAGGCCGGGGCAACCAAUGAAAUCGGAGAAGAGCGCUUGGGGGCGUGUCCGCCUGCUUUCAGCCUUUGGCAAGUUGGUGGGAGGUGAAAGUGACUUGGCCUCUUAAAAGCGUUUUUUUCACGUGGGUGUGAUGUCGUGUUCCGUUUUUCUGAAUAAGAACUUCGUAGCUUCUUGUUAGGAAGAACCUGGAGGACAGAGUAACUCUCGGCAGUCAGCCCCCGCCUGAGGCUCUCUUGAAGGACCCCCUUCUAACUCGAAGCUGGAUACCCAGAUUCCAGGGGUGCCCAGAAGUAGCUUUUCCAGCCCCUUCCUGGAUCCAUGGUCCCCCUAGUUCCCUUCCCUGUUUGCUCUUUAUCGCUCCACACCCCUUGUGUCUUGAUUCUAGACUGUCAUAUGCCUAUACCGAUUCUGUCCCCUUCAGAAGUAGAUUCGCGAGGACCUGACUUUAUGUGUCUCUUCCAGACCUAAAGGCCCUUGGUUUUAGCAUCAUAGGUGCCAUGUAUAUGCUUAACUUUGAACAGAAAAUUAUUAUUUUUUGUAUCUUUAAACUGAUAUAUCGUAGUUGUACAUAUUUAACUUUGGACAGAAAAUUUUUUUUAUAUCUUUAAACUGAUAUAGUUGUACAUAUUUUCAGGGAUACAUCUGAUAUUGUGAUACAUGUAUUCAAUGUAUAAUUAUCAAAUCAGUGUAAUUGGGAUAUCCAUCAUCUCAAACAUUAUCUUUGUGUUGGGAACAUUUUCUGCUAUGCGUUCUCUUGUAGCAGGAAAUCGUUAUUUUUGAUCAACUGACUAUUCACACAUUUGUGAAGAUUACAAAUUCAGUAACUAAUGUAACAUUUAGAUGUAAGCUAUUGUUGCAAAUGUAACCUAAAGCGCCGUACUUUAGGGAAUCUAGCAUCUGUUACAUUUUGCUAGUUUGAACAGGCAAUAGAAAUAGCUAUUAGAUACUGUAAAAGAAAUUGACUUUCUUUGCCAAUGUGCUUCCCAGUGUCAAUAAAUUAAAGUAUCCUUUUUAAGAAAAUCGUUUCAAAAGAAGCGAAGUAUUUAUUGAAUUCUGGAGAGAGAAUACUCUUUAAAAAUCUGCAAUUUUUACUAUCAGGGAUCAUUUGUAUAGCUCAUUACUAGUGAAUUUCUCUGAAUGUGUAGAGCAAAAUAAAAUCUGCUAUUAGAUGUAGGCUAUUUGGGAUUAAUUUUUUUUUUAACUGAGCUAGAGUUAAUCCAUUUAGGCUUGAGUCCUGCUUUUGCUACUUACUGGGUCUAUUACUUUGAGAAAAUUAUUUAAGCACUCCAAGUCUCAGUUUUCACUUAUGUUAAACAGGAAUAAAACCUCACAGGGAUGCUGUUGUGAUUAAGUGCGUUUGAAUGUGUUUGAUAAACUGUAGAUAGCUACAAACAUGUGAGUUGUGUUGCCAAACACAUCUCACAGGUUACUUGCCAUCACAAAGGAGAAACAUACUUUUACAAUGGGGAGAUCUGGCAGUCCCCACCUUAACCCAGUUAUCCAAUGUGUAUCAGUAACCCUUGGACAACCAACAUUUUUAUGAAGUUCCCAGUGUGCUGCAGCAUAAAGUAUACAGCAUCACUUAAUGGUGUUUUCUUGCCAAAAUACUGAAAGUUAAUCUAAUCAAGGCUUUGGAUCUAAACUCCAGUUUACUGGGCUGGAGGAACCAGUUGAACCAUAACCCCAAGGAGAUAAUCAGAUAAAUCAAGAACGUGAAGCAUUCUAUAAGACAACUAUUUUAUAGAAGAUAAGACAUAAAGAUCAAGGAAAAUCAAUGUCAUAAAAAUGGUCAGGGGUGAUUGUUCUAAAUUUGAAAAAAAACUUAAAGAGAUACAAUCAAAUGCUUAAUUGGAUUCUGGUUCUGAAAAAGCAGGCUUUUAGACAUUUUUGAGACAAUUGGGGAAAUUUGAAAAUGGACUGGUAUCAGAUGUUGUUAGUUAUUACAUUUGUUCAUUGUAAUAAUGGUAUGCUGGACAUGGGGGAAAACAUCUUUACAACUUGGAGAAACGUAGGAGUGAAGAGUUAUGAUAUCCGUAACUCUCUUUGAAAUGGUUCAGCAAAAAAGAAAGAUAAGAGACCAGUCUGGGCAACAUAAAUAAACCUGUCUCUACUAAAAACAAAAGCAAAACAAAACAAAACAAAAAAAUUAGCUGGGCAUGGAGGCCUGUGCCUGUAGUUCCAGCUACUUGGGAGACUGAGGUGGGAGGACUGAUUGAGCCCAGGAGGUCGAGGCUACAGUGAGCUGUGAUUGUGCCACUGCACUCCAGCCUGACAGAGUGAGGCCCUAUCUCUCUCUCACACACACACACACACACACACACACACACACACACACACAGAGCCAAGGAAAGAUAAAUACUUUGAAAUGCAUACAUACACAUCUGUCUGUCUGUCUACCUCCCUACCUACCUACCUAUCAAGCAAAUAUGGCAAAAUCUUAAUUGUUAAAUCUAUGUGGUAAGUAUAUAGGUGUUUACUGUACUAUUAUUUCUACUUUUAUUGUAUAUUUGGAAUAAUAAUUUUAAAAAAGGUUUUGAGAGGCUAGUUUGACCUACUGUUGUUACCUAACACUGCCUCCGGAAUACAGAACAGAAUUCUUGGCCUGGCAAAUGAGACCCAUGACAAUCUGAUGUCACCUCUCCUUUCCAGUCCUUUUUUUUUUUUAAGACAGAAUCUCACUCACCUAGGCUGGAGUACAGUGGCACAAUCUCAAGUGAUUGUCCUGUGUCAGCCUCUGGAGUAGCUGGGAUUACAGGCAUGCACCACCACACCCAGCUAAUUUUUAUAUUUUUAGUAGAGACAGGGUUUCACCAUGUUGGCCAGGCUGGUCUCAAACUCCUGACCUCAGGUGAUCUGCCUGCCUUGGCCUCCCAAAGUGCUGGGAUGACAGAUGUGAGCCACCAAGUGGUGGCUUUGAAAUGCAUACACACACAUCUAUCUGUCUGUCUGUCUCCCUCCCUACCUACCUAUCAAGCAAAUAUGGCAAAAUGUUAAUUGUUAAAUCUAUGUGGUAAGUAUAUAGGCUCACACCUGGCCUCUCUCUUUUGUAUUGGUGUACUCUGUGUUCCAAUUAAAUUGAUCCACACAUUUUUUUCCACAUUCACCCUACACUUUCUCAAACUGAUGCCUUUGUGUAUGCUUUCCCUCCAUUAAAUGCCCAGUGAACUCCCUCCACAGAAUUUCCUCGAAUUUUCCUGGCUAGACGUAAUGCCCCUUCCUCAGGACUUGCAGAGUUUCCUGUGAGGUUAAUUGUCUUGCCUUAUAAUUAUCUAUGUUUCAAUCAUAUCUCCCCUACUAGAGGGUCAAUUUCUCUAAUGUAUAACCUGUAUCUAUUUCAUCUUUGUUUCCCCCAUGACAGCACGCAACCUAGCAUAUUCAUCUAUUUAAUAAAUAUUUAUCAAUUAUCUAUUAUAUAUCUUCAGGCCUGAGCCAAGUCUUAGGGACAAAGUAGUGAAUGUACAAAUAGGCUCUGGCUCCUCAUGAAAUGUAAAGGAUCUUAGGGAUAUACACAGUAUUCGUAGUGAAAAAAUAUGUAGAGUAAUUAUACACAUAUGCACAGUAAUAUGGAGGACAACAGGUGUAACCUGUUUAUUUUUUGUUUGUUUGUUUGUUUGUUUGUUUGAGACAGAGUCUUGUUCUGUUGCCCAGGCUGGAGUGCAGUGGCACGAUCACGGCUCACUGCAAGCUCCACCUCCCGGGUUCACGCCAUUCUCCUGCCUCAGCCUCCCGAGUAGCGGGGACUACAGGCGCCCGCCACCACGCCCGGCUAAUUUUUUGUUUUUGUAUUUUUAGUAGAGAUGGGGUUUCACCGUGUUAGCCAGGAUGGGCUCGAUCUCCUGACCUCAUGAUCCACCCGCCUCGGCCUCCCAAAGUGCUGGGAUUACAGGCUUGAGCCACUGUGCCCGGCCCUAACCUGUUUCAAAGAGGGAUAAACUGUUUAAGUUGCCACCUGGGGACUGGGGAGGAGUAAGCAAAGGAAAUAAAUCAGUCAUUCUUUUUCCUUUCUCUUUUUUUCCUCCAUAGCUAAAAUCAGUCAUCUUCCUGCGAAGGCAUGAGGAGGAAAAGAGAGGAAGUAACUGAGCGAUAAUAUGCUGUAUGAGCCUCCUGCUCUGCUGCCCAUUACCUGCGUCACCUCCACAAGCUACUGAACCUCAAGGAACCCAUCUCCUCAUCAGGAAAAAAAAUAAGCUUUAUGUAGGUAGGCACCUAAUAAUGUUAAAUUAUCUCCUGUCUCUUUAUCAUUUAAAACUUUGGAGGCUCACUCCUGUAAUCCAGCACUUUGGGAGGCCAAGGCAGAAGAAUCCCUUGAGCCAGGGGUUUGAGCCCAGCCUGGGCAAUGUAGCGAGACCUCAUCUCUACUAAAAAUCAAAAAAUUUAGCUGGGCAUGAUGGCACCCGCCUGUAGUAUUCCCAGCUACUUGGGAGGCUGAGGUGGGAGAACUGCUUGAGCCUGGGAGGUAGAGGCUGCAGUGAGCCAUGAUUGUGUCACUGCACUGUAACCUGGGUGACAGAGAAACUCAUCUCAGAAAAAGAAGAAAACCUUCAGGCUGAGUGCAGUGAUUCACACCUGUACUCCCAGCAUUUUGGGGGGCCAAGGUGGGAAGAUCACUUGAGCCUGGGAGUUCAAGACCAGCCUGGGCAACAUAGGGAGAUCCCGACUCUACAAAAAGUAUAAAAAUUACCCAGGUGUGGUGGUGCACACCUGUAGUCCCAGUUACUCGGGAGGCUGAGGUGGAUCACUUGAGCCUGGGAGAUCGAGGCUGCAGUGAGUGGUGAUUGUGCUACUGUGCCACUACACUCCAGCCUGAGUGACACAGGCCCUGUCUUGAAAACAAAACCCCACUUUUUUUUGCCCCUUUCUAUGUGUUUGCUGAAUCUUUUAUCUUGAGCAUUUUAGAGUAAAAAUGAUACUCAAGUCUGAAAUAAUAAAAAUAAAUUCACUAUAAAGAAUGACCAACCUUUUCCCAUCUCCUUUGAAGAGAUGAGUUUUGAAAUACAAUAUGCUCAGAACUAAGUAAAUACUAUCCAUGAAGGCAGCUGAAUGCCUCAUUGGGCUACAUGAGUCUCUUAAAGGGGGACAGAUUCCUCAAUGCCUAGAGAUGGGCAGGAUGGAGAAGACAAACUACAGUUUAUCUACUACAAUUUAUAAUUUUGUCGUACAGUUAAAAUGGGGGGAGGAGAAACUGAAAGCAUCUUAGAUUUUUAAAGACAAGUUAUUAUAUAAAAAUAUUUGUCUUCUUUGCAACAAAAUUAAAAAGGUAAAAAUAUAGGUAAUAAUAUCUUUAAUCCCCUACAUCAAGAAGUUGACAGUCUAUCUAAAUAUGCUAGAAACAUAAAAAUCAUAUUCAGAGGUAACAAAGUAGAAAUGCAGGCACUCAUUUUUAAGUAUACAAUUUGUUUUUAUUUACAAUACCCUAUAAAAAUGUAAAUUUAGAAACUUUUAUUUUCAUUAAUUAGAACCAAUCCAAACAAAAAAGAUAAAGCACAGUAAGGAAGAGAUAAUAAUCAAGUAUUCACUUGAUUGGUUGUGAAGGGAAGGUAGGAAAGGCAUGUAGUGGAAAUGGUCAGUAGACAACGGUAGAGGGAAGCUAGGUAACAUCACUGGGGAACAGCUGGUGGAGCCUGGGGUUACAGCAUGGGAAGAAAUGGAGAUGGAGAACAGGACAGCUGGUUUUAACAGAGGAUCUUACUGUUGUACAAUACAUGUAUGUGCAAAAUGUUUAUUCUCUUUAAAUACCAUAACCUGUCCCUCCCACCCCCCAACUACAUUCGAAAAAGUAAGAACAGCAGAAAGAUCACGAAGGCCAUGUAAAAUUAAUUCAGAUUUAAUUUUCUUCAGGGCUGUAAUCACUAGGGAUCAAAACUCCUUAGUCUGGUUGAUUGCUGAAUGGGAGAGGAGUAAGUGAGAAAGAUCAUGGCAGGCUGGCCCUGCAAUUAUUCAAACCCAGGCCCCUGGCUGCCUGGGAACGGGACUUGGGUGAGAUGAAGUAGUAAAGACAGCAGUUCUGCCCAUGGUGUGGAGACUAAAAAGCAAAGCAGGCCAAACUUAGCUUCCAUGGUUACAUUUGGAAGUUUCUAUUCAUGACACCAAAUAAAAGUGGGGAAGAAGGAAGCAUGGCUUACUGAAGUAGUCUCAGGAAGACAGGGCAAGUGUGCAAAAAGCCACACUGCCAAAGCAGGCUACUAGUGAGGAUCAUCCUGGGUGACUUCGAAUGCACUUGAGGGGAAAGGCUCAAGUACCCUGUAGUUGUAGCAGGAAAAAGACAUAACCAUGUGUUGUUUCGAUUAAGGUGGACAGAAACUAAGGAAAUAAAGGUGGGAAGAAGAAAAAGGACUUCUCAGCCUAGACCUGGGCAUAAGCCAAUUAAGAGUUCUGAUUUUAUUAAACGUGCUGCAUACUCUUUAUUUAUGUUAAAACAAGUAGAACCCACCAAAUUAAUUACAAGAUAGAACAGAAACAGAUUAAAAUACAUCAGCUGGUUUGUGUUUAGAAGAGGUAAUGAGACAACUAAAUAUUUUUCAAUCUAAAAUUCAUUCUUUAAGGACCCUCUGAAGACCACAUAAAUACAUGUAUGGGGUGUGUGUGUGUGUAUCUAUGUGUGUGUGUAUAUCUUGAUUUCUACUUAAUUGGCUCUUCUAUAGUCAUAUUAAUAUGGGGCAAUGAAAAAACAACUUCAAUAGGAUGAGGGAAGGAAUCCUUUGGCAGGCUACAAUCUACUCUGAGGUGGAGUAGUGGAGGGAUAAAGGGAGAGAUUACACUUGUGUCUCUAGGGCAAAGAAAAUGCAAAACAGAACUGAGUAAAAGUAGGACAUGCAGAACUGUAACACAGAAGGUAAAGAAACCAGCAGAAGUAUCACCCAGCCAAAUUUCAUAGAGCAGUGGGGAAAUAUCUGACAUUUAGAGAGACAACCCCUGUAAACAGGAAUCGAUCCCACAAGACUUUGCUUUGGGGAAAAAGCUACCUUCCUUCCCUCAUUAAAAACACUCCAUUGGUGAUGGCAGCAGUGCAGGUGGCAGCCAAAAGGAGGUACAGGACACAUUUGGAGAUCUUUUAUCGUAUCCCCUGAACUAGCCUAGGAGUACAAAGGAGAGAAAGGAAAAUUGUAUAAAUGAGUUAAAACAGAAGGCAAUCUUUCAUAUUACAGUUACAUCUUUGUAAGACUUCUCAUAACAAAAUACCCGAGAUUAUUUCUCUACCCUUAGCAUUUGGUCAUCUUUUAUGAAGGCCCUGUUGUACCCAGUUCAGUGUUUUAUAUCUAACAGAUACACAAAUAGUUAAUAAAAAGUCAAUCUCUUCCACCAAAUUCAGUUUUAUUCCCCCCUCCACCCCAAUCAUAACUUCUUUUUAUUUAUUUUUUUUGAGACAGGGUCUUGCUCUGUCACCCAGGCUGGAGUGCAGUGGCGUGAUCUCAGCUCACUGCAAUCUCUGUCUCCCGGGUUUAAAUGAUUUUCAUACCUCAGCCUACCGAAUAGCUGGGAUUACAGGCAUGCACCACCGCACUUGGCUAAUUUUCGUAUUUUUUUAGUAGAGACAGGGUUUCACCAUUUUGGUCAGGCUGGUCUGGAACUCCUGGCCUCAAGUGAUCCACCCUCCUGGGUGUCCUAAAAUGCUGGGAUUACAGGUGUGAGCCACCGUACCCAGCCUCCCAACCAUAACUUCUAAAGUCCCAACUUUAGUGAGAUGUGAAACUCUCCUGUUUCAAACUUACUGCAGUUUUGUCUCCAGCAAGUUCAGUUUCUGCCGGUCAACAUAGCGAGAAAAGAGGGACACUAGGUUUGUAGGUAUAGAGAUUGGCUUGGCCAGGGCUGCUUGGGGAAUCCGCAGAAGUUCUCGUGUUGCCAUGAACAUCACCUCCGUCCUGACAGGGAAGACCCAUAAUAAUAUCAGGAGAAAAAAAUUUAAAAGAUUACCUCAAAGAACUUAAAAUAAGAGAAGAAACAGUCCACACUGACCACUGAUUAUUUUGUGUUGAUUCUGUAGCAGGGUCUGAACUCUGUAGGUCUUCACCACGGCUCAGGAGGAUGAGGAGCAGUGACAGGCCAAACUACGAGAAAAGACAGAGGGAAUCAAACUCAACACUGUGUCUAAACCUCCUCCACCACUGUUGAAGGGAUCCUGGCAUCAGAUGGGGAACAGCUCUAAAUCAAAAUAACCUCACUACUGUGCUUUUCUGUAAAACCAGGUAAAGAUCAGACAAGCAUGAGUU
rnacentral:lncRNA from 1 species